rnacentral:lncRNA from 1 species
UCGUCCUCGCAACAGAGGUCGUUGGUAAAAAAUGGCGUGGGCAAGUAGGGCAAUAUGGUUUCUUCUUCUUCACGUUAGGCUUUCUAUCUUUACCACUCAUGGGUUACUUGGAGAGAAAGUCAUGAAGAAACCUUUACAGAAUCAGAUGCCUUCUUCCUCUUGGAUACGCUGUUUUUCUCUUGCCCUUUGCCUAUGAGUCUCCUCGAUGGCUUCUCGUCAAAGGACUUAACAAAGAAGCCAUGGUGGUCUUGAAGAAACUCGCGAGGCGCAAUGGGAAACAACUUCCAGCUGAUCUAAGCCUAGUCGAUCCGAUUCAAGGAAGAGAUGAUCCAACUUUCUCGUCGUCUGAGAACUUUUGGAGGACUAAAUGGGCAGUAAAGAGGAUCGUAAUGGUGAUGAUGGCUGGAUUUGGCACUGGUUUUGUUUACUAUGGAAUCCAACUAAACGCUGAGAAUCUCAACUUCAAUCUUUACUUAACUGUUGCGGUGAACGCUCUGAUGGAGUUUCCAGCGAUUUUCAUCGGAAGUUUCCUCCUCGGCGUCAUGAACCGUCGUCCGUUGUUCUCCAACUCAUCAUACCUAGCUGGAAUAUGUUGCUUACUCUGUGCGGUUCUCUCGCUCCACCGUGUGACCCGUGCACUACCCGUUUCCAAAUGGCUGCAGCUAGCAGUUGAGGCAAUCGGAUUCAUGGCGUCCUCAACGGCCUACGAUGUCCUAUAUGUCUAUGGCGUCGAGCUGUUCCCGACAAACGUGAGGAACUUUGCGGUUUCGCUCUUGCGUCAAGCGUUCAUGCUAGGAGCGUCUGCAGCACCGUUGCUAGUUGCAUUGGGAAGAGAAAGCGCGAUGAUGUCUUUCAUUGUGUUUGGUGUUGCGUCUGUGUUGAGCGGCGUGGUGAGUAUCUGGCUAAGGGAAACAAGAAACGCUCCACUUUAUGAAACACUGACGCAGCAGGGGAAGGCUGAAGAGAUGGAAAACGAAAUAGAACACUCUUAAUCACUAGUACUGUUCCUUUCUGCGUUGUAUGUCCAAUGAUUGGAAACAUGUAAAAACCUUUCGGUUUUCCACUAAAUUGUAUGAAACGUUGAUUGUUUAUUUUGAAAAAGUCCUAAAAAUCGAUUUGGGCGGUGACUAAUCAUCUCCUUAAUCCGCAAAAUGGUACUAGCCAAUAAUUUUAUCUAAUUUAUUCGACUCACACUAAUUUAAAUCAUUAUAAAUCCAUUUAAUUGUUUUAAAUCAGUUUAAAUUAAUGUAAAUCCAUUAAACUAAAUAAUACUGUUAUUAUAAAUUUAUAAUUCGUCUAAUUUCUUUUUCAUAUCUAAUUUUGAUAAUUUUUCAAAAAAAUAAAAACCCAAAAAUUUAAAUACUUACAUAAAUAUAAAAUAAAUUAAUAAUUUAUUAACUAUUACACCUCAAAUAAUUUGUCAAGCUAGUAGUUAAUCCUCUACAAAAAAAACUUUUAGUUACCGCAUAGAAGUUUUUUCAACAUUGAAGAUUGAAGAAACUUUAAUGUAAAUAGUCGGAACAAAAAAUCAGGAAGUGUUGUAUUGCCUUUUUCACUUGAAGCCCUGAAGUACCCACUUCAAAAACCUGUAUUCAGCACUUUGAAAUUAUAGAAAAAUUUGAGUUAUCUAGAGCACUGAAGUGCUUAUUUCAAAAAAGCUGCAUUUUGCACUUUUAUGCUCUAGGUAAUCUGAAUCUGUUUAGACUUUAGUGUAUGAGGUCCAUAAGUACUAGGUUUAUAGGAGAUAGGAGACCACUAUAUAUAUAUAUAUCUUGUGUUUCCUCUAAACCUAAGUAGCAGUUGAAAUAGAAAGCAAUCUGAUAUGUUCUUUUUGUAGACAAAUUUAUGUAAAUCAUCCAUUAAUAAAAGUCUUUCUUUGCUCCGUAGAAGUAGCCUAUUAGUGAACCACGUUAAAUCUUGUGUUCUUUUUGUUUAUUGUGUUUAUCCAUAUGUGUGUUCCGCAUCUGUUCUUCUUGCAUCCGUCACAACAAACUGGUAUCAUAGCUUCAGGUAUUUAAUCUGGUGAGAAGAUGUAUGGGAUAAAUGCGAAGAUAGACAAGUUUGCAGGAAUGAAUAGCUUUAGUCUCUGGCAGAUAAAUAUGCAAGCUUUGUUGAAGCAACAAGGCAACUGAGCACUUUUGUCAGGGAAGAAGACUGAUUCUGCUGAAAUGGAGGUUUUGGAACAGAAGGCAUUCUCAACAAUUUUGUUGUAUCUAGCAGACGAAAUUAUUGUCGAAGUUUCGGAUGAGAACUCGGCUGCUAGUUUGUUGCAGAAGUUAGAGAGCUUGUACAUGAUCAGGGCCGGCUCAAUGGUGUCAUGGGCCAUGAGCCAAUUUUUUUUUUUAAUUUCCAAACUAUUAUUUUUCUUUAAAAAAUCUGAUAGAUAUAUGUUUUUUUUUAAAUACCAGAAGUAUUUUUAAAAAUAAAUCUAUGGAAAUAAAAAAAUACUUUCAUAUAAAAAAGUUUGGGCCAUUUUUCUUAUUUUUAAUAUGAAAAUACAUGUAUUUUUUAAAAAAAUUGGGCCCUUAUCUAUUAAGAAAUAGGGGGACAAUUCGUUGGGCCUGGGGCGGUGGUACCGCCCGUCCCCCCUAUUAAGCCGGCCCUGUACAUGACAAAGUCUCUAACGAGCAAGCUAAUUUUGAAGCAACAUCUCUUCUCUCUGAGAAUGCAUGAAGGUAUGGACCUUCGUGACCAUCUUGACAGAUUAAAUUCAAUAGUAUUGGAGCUGCGUAAUAUUGAUGUUAAGGUGGAGGAUGAAGACGCUGCACUAAUCAUGUUGGUAUCUUUGUCGAACUCCUUCGAGAACUUCGUGCAAUCGUUCAUUGUUGGUAAGGUUACAGUGAAACUGGAAGACGUUAGGUCAGCUCUUCGUACCAGGGAAUUGUUCCAUAAAGCAUCGAGCUUAGAGACAUAUAGUCAGGCUUCCAGAUUAUUUAUCAGUGGUGGAAAGGGCCAUGGAAAUAAAAAGAAGUUGAUAGCUAAAAGACCAUUUCAUAGGGGUCCAAGAGAUUUUACAAUCACUGCAAAGAAAAGGGACACUGAAAAUCAAAUAGUCCAAAGAGGAAGCAACCUUCUGGGUAUGCUGCGGUAGCAGAGCAUAAAGCAGCGUCUGAUGACGACAUUUCUCUUGUUGCACAUGAACACACACAUUCUUCUGAUGUAUGGGUUAUGGAUACAUGAGCAUCCUACCAUAUGACACCGAGGAGAGAGUGGUUUGAAGAGUACUUUGAGGUACCUGACGGCAAUAUUAAGAUGGCAAAUGAUAUUGUCUGCAAGAUUGCUGGAAUCGGCUUGAUCAAGCUCAGGUCAAAUGAUGGUAGAUUCUGCACAUUGAACGAGGUCAGGCAUGUUCCGUCAAUGACGAAGAACUUGAUAUCUAUGAGUCUGUUGGACAAUAAAGAUUUCAAGUAUAUGGGUGGCGAUGGAGUUUAAAUGUCUACAGAGGUUCAGAUGUGAUUCUGAAGGGUUUCAUGCACGGUACUCUGUAUUUGCUUAUGGGUUCUAUAGUGACUGGUUCAGCAAAUGUUGCAACGCAAGAGGUUCGCGAAGAAGAUAUGACUAAGCUAUGGCAUAUGAGGUUUGGGCAUAUGAGUGAACGUGGGAAGCAGAUUUUUUGAAGAAAGAUUUUCUAUGUGGUCACAAGACCAAGAGUCUAGAGUUCUGUGACCACUGUGUUUUUGAGAAACUUCACAAGAAGAGAUUCCCUAAGGUGAUUCAUAGGAAAAAGGCCACGUUGGACUACAUCCAUGGAGAUUGUCGGGGUUCCUCCAGAGUUGAAUCGCUGAAAGGUCACAGAUAUUUUAUGUCUAUGAUUGAUGACUAUUCGAGGAAGACUUGGAUAUUCUUUAUGGAGCACAAAAGUGAAGUUUUCGAUCGUCUUAGGGAGUGGAAAGCACUGGUGGAGAAUCAAACAUGGAAGAAGAUCAAGAGCCUUCAUACUGAUAAUGUAGAGUUUUGUUCAUCAGAUUUCAAUCAGUUUUGUAAAGAUGCAUGGAUUGCUAGGCAUCUUACAGGCAGGGAAACACCACAACAGAAUGGUGUAGCUGAACGGAUGAGUCAGACAUUGCUGGAGAGAGCGAGGUGCAUGCUCUCUAAUGAAGGAUUAGCAAAACGGUUUUGGCCUGAAGCUGUGAACAUAGCUUGCUACUUGAUUAAUCUCGGGUGUGGUCAGGUAAAUUUGCUGAUUAUUCAAUUCUGAGAGUUUUUAGUUGCACUAUUAACUAUCAUGUGAAUGACGGUAAACUUGAGUCGAGAGCAAAGAAGAAAGUAUUUAUGGGCUACAGUGACAGAGUCAAGGGAUAUAGGGUUUGGUCUCCAUAAGAAAACUGAAUGGUUCUAAGCAGAAACAUUGUCUUUGAUGAAAGUUCCAUGAUUAGAAGCCAAGCAGAGUUCAGUUCUGAAGCAGAGAAGGGUAGCAAUGAUAAACAGGUAGAGCUGCAGGAUGAUCAUAAAGUGGUUGAUCUGUCAAACCAUAUAGAAAAUCAAGAGGAGCAAGCAGAAGAUAUUAAGACAGAAGCUCAACCACCUGAGGCUACAAGACGUAGCAUCGCUAAAGAUCGACAAAGAAGGGUCGACGUCAGACCACAAGAGAGAUAUCGUUUUGAGGAUAUGGUGGGUUAUGCACUACAAGUUACAUAGGAAGUGGAUACUUAUGAGUCAUCCACUUAUAGAAAAGUUGUUUCUAGUCCCGAGUCUGAGAAAUGGCAUGCUGCAAUAGGAGACGAAAUGGAGUCUCCUGAGAAGAAUCAUACAUGGGAUAUGGUCACAUUACCAUCAGGCAGAAAGGUGGUUACUUGUAAUUGGGUCUAUAAGAUCAAAGAUGGAGUUACACGGGCAGAAGGAGUUAAAUAUAAGGUCGAAUUGUUGCAAGAAGUUUUAUUCAGAGAGAGGGAGUAGACUACAAUAAGAUCUUCUCACCAGUGGUUAGACAUUCUUCCAUCAGAGUGUUGCUAGCAAUAGUGGUGCGUCAGGACUUGGAGCUUAGGCAACUUGAUGUGAAAACUGUUUUUCUUCAUGGAGAAUUACUAGAGCUUCACUUGCGCAUCCGCGCGGAUGUUGGCUCUUACAUUUUUAUACAUUAAUAUAUUAUUUAUGGUUUAUUUUAUAUAUUUUAAAUGUGCCGCCAUAUAACUAAUUGUAUUCAAAAGACUCAGACCAAAUUGAAUAUGGUUAUUUUUGGUACAAAUAACCAAACUCGUUUCAGGUACAUUGGUUAUUUGGAUAUUUUUAGGUUUUUAUACUUUCAAAUCGAACUCAUCCAGACCCGGAAGACCCAACUCGAAAACCACACAUAAUUUAUAAUAUCCAAGUGGGACUUAAUUUUAAAACCCAAAAAAAACUCGAUACCCGGAAGAAAAAAUCCAUACCGUAAUGGAUAUCUGAAUGUCAAUGCCUAAUUGACUCAACAAAUUAAAAAAACACUUUCUAUGAAUUUGGUUAAAUUAAGUGAAAUAGAAAACUUUAUUGUGCAAAAUAUUUGGUUAUAUGGAGUAAAAUAUUAAGUGAUAAUAAAUUUAAUAUUUUUUAUUAUUUUGAUUUAAAUUAUUAUUUUGUUCACAUAAACUAUGUAUUUGAAUUAUGUGUUUGGCUACGUAGAUUUCACCGAUUGAAACUAAGAUAAAUUUUUUUUAGUAAAAUAGACAAAACAUAAAUUUUAACCGUAUGCAAAACUCGGUUGUUUUACAUUUUGAUUUUUAUAAUCGGUGCAAAGUUAAUGUUGAUUAACUAAUAAAUAAAAAUAUUCUCUAUUAUUAUUAUGGUAAUAUAAUUAAUGAUGUAAUGUAUUGUUAAGGUAAUAUAAUUAUUGAAGUUGUUAAAUUGAUUGAAAAUUGAAUGAUAAUUAGUGUAAUAACUUGUCGAAAAGAAGGUUAAUUCUAUUUGUACUUCAAUUUUAAUAAUAUAGACUAGAGCUUGAUUCGCGCACCCUUAAAGAUAUUUAUUUUAACAGAAUAUACAUAUGAAAAUCUUUACAAUAUAAAAAUGUAAUGGUUACCCAAACAUAAAAAAAUUACGUUUUAUAAUUUAUAUCAAGAAAAAAGUUUACGUUUAUUUCUAAAGUAACUAUUUUUCCUAUUUUACCUUUUAAUUAUCGUGUAUAUAUAUAUAGAUUUAUUUAUUUUUUUAUAUAGCCUACUUAUAGAUAUAGAUAUAAAAUGUAUCAAAAGAACCAAUUUAUACAUUUUAUUCAAAAUUUAUGGAGAAUUUUCAUGAUUAGGGUUAACCUACCUUGAAGUAUUCAAAAUAAGUUUCUAUUUACUCUAUUUCUUUUCCGUAACCUUUAAGUAUUCUAGAUCUAUAGAAUGUCUUCAACUGAUUUUCAUGGGGAGCAGUAUAUAGAUGGAUCCUUUUUGUCGGUGCUUCGCAUGUGCAUCAGGUACGUUUGCUCAGGGUCCAAAAAAUUAAGAAAAAAAAUAAUUAAUAUUGAGGGUCUUUUUUACAUAGAUCUAGGAUUCUUUAUACAAAUUAUUACUUCUGUUUUUUUUUUUUUGAAAAUUGGCUUUCAAAAUUAAGAGCAAAAAUAAAAAACGUUUACAAGACCAUUAAAGUCUUAAGUGAGCAAUACCCAAUAGUGCAACUAAUAGUUUAGAACUUUCUUUAGCCCUAAACCCAAUAAGCCCAUUUGAUGGAGAAAGGUUAACGACUUCUGGUAUUUUCCAGCGGAACAGAGAUGAUCGACGAUCAUACAGAGGAGAGCAGUCGCAAGUGAGAUGGAUGAGAGAUGAGGCUUCAUGCAAGACGGAACCAUGUCUGCAUCAUACUAGAAGAUAGGCGUGGGUUCGACUCUCUGAAACUUUGAAUCCUGUUUCUGAUUUGUAAAUCUACAACCCGGAAGAGGCGAUCAGCAGAACGAAAAGAGUUGGAAUGCAGUCUGGCGUUCCUUUCAUUCCAGGUCCAGUAUAUUGUUGACUGCCAUGCCAGUAGGGUGAGUAAUCGAAGUGCCCUUGAACCUCUACUAGUUGGUAAAGUAAUCAUCUGAUUAAGCGCGUCCGGCCAGUUGCGUGAGGGUGUAAGGGAGCAUCUUCUGGAGCUUUUCAACCACAAGUUAUAGGCAAAUUCACACUCAAAAUAGAGAUGAUUACGAGUUUCGGGGAAGCUGUUACACAGUAAGCAGACAGGCGGAACCUGAAGGCCCCAACGUAGAAGACGAUCCCGUGUUGGGCAGCUAUCCAAAACUACUAGCCAAGUGUGAAAAUUAUGUCGGGGAAUUCCGUAGGAGGUCCACACCGCAGUCGCCCAAUUUACCUCAUCAUGCGCCCCUCUCAGGUAAUGAUACACUUCACCAGUAGAGAACUUGCUAGAGAUCCUUCCUUCUAUCUCCCAUUCAAAGUAGUCUGGCUCAGUUGUGAGGUUGACUGUAGUUAAAUGUGCUUGAAGUUGUAGCUGUUGCUCUGAUCUUGCAGGUGGAAGACGCCAUGAUCCAUUACGGAAUAGUGAGGCCACUGUUGCUUGUUGAGGAAUGCCUAACCUUGAUGAUUGAGCGUUCAGCAGUGUAGCAACAUUUCCUAGGGGGGACCAGUUGUCAUGCCAAAAUCUAGCAGAUAGUCCAUUCUCCAAUCGCAGUUUAACCAAUGGGUAGACAACAUCUUUAAGUUUGAGGAUCUUGUUUGCGAGCCAAGAGAAUGAAACCUUUGGCUUUGUAGUCCAGUAGUUGUGGAUCGAUCCCUUGAGUACAACUUCUCUGAACCAAGCCACCCACAUUGAUCUUGAUCUAAAGAACAGAAGCCACACUAGUUUCAGACAGCAUGCUUUGUUCCAUGUAUGAAGAUCCUUCACGCCGAGACCUCAUUGCUGUGUUGUUAGGACCACUGUCUCCCAUGCGACCCAGGAUGAAAACUUCUUUUUGAUUUGAUGUAUCAGGGGCUCACAAGUGACGAAGUUGAGCUUUCUGGAGUUCAAGGGGACGCCUAGAUAACGAACAGGGAGUGUGCCACAGAUCAUACCCGUUGAAGCCUGAAUGGUAUCCACUUCUUGGUCUGUCAUACCUGAGGCAUAGAAGCUUGUUUUCUGCAUACUGAUCGCCAGUCCUGAUCUUUUCUCGAAUUCCUUCAGGACUUGCAGCACUUGUUGGACCGAGUGGAGGGAACCGUCAAUGAAGAUCAGUAGAUCGUCAGCGAAAGAGAGGUGAGUCAUCUUCAUAGACUUGCAGUUUGAGUGAUACUUUAUCUUUUCCUGAGCUGCUGUGGAGUUAAGCAUGAAUGAUAGACAGUUCAUAGCUAUUACAAAGAGAUAAGGGGAGAGGGGGUCUCCUUGUCUCAAACCUCUGCUUCCUUUGAAGUACCCGUUUACAGUUCCAUUAUAACCGACCAUGAAGCUUGUUUUGCAGAUGCAAGCUUUAAGCAGUUUGACGAAAUGAGGAGGAAGUCCUAAGCUUUCCAGACAUGAGAAGAGGAAAUUCCAUGAAAGUGUAUUAAAAGCCUUCCCUAUGUCCACUUUAAUGGUAAUCCUCGGGGUCCCUUUGUUCUUGUGAUACCCAUAUACGAGCUCGCUAGCUAGUAUAGUAUUUUCCACCAACAGUCGGUCUUUAACAAAUGCAGUUUGACACGGGAGUAUUAAACCUUGUAGAAUUGGCUUAAUCCUUGCAACGAGAAGUCUGGAGAUUACUUUGUAGAUAGUGUUUAGGCAUGAUAUAGGUCGGUAGUCCGUGAUUUUUGUAGCUCCUGGGAACUUUAGGGACGGGUGAUAGAAUGGUUGCAUUCGUCGUCGCUGGCAGGAACCCCAUCUCAAAGAAAUUUGUGAUAGAAACUAUCACCUCUUUACCCACAGUUUCCCAAGCAUGUUUAAAAAAUCCAGAAGUCAAUCCGUCCGGCCCUGGGACUUUGUUAGGAUUUAACUUGAAGAAAAGAGCCUUUAUAUCCUCUACUGUUGGGACUGAAAGCAUAACUUGUGUUUGUUGCAGUGUACAUUGGAAAUUCAUGAGGUUGUGAAACCAUUGAUGAGGAGAGGCCAGCAUUGGUCGGUAGCCAUUUUCUGGCCCGAGGAUUGAUUUAAAAUGAGAAACAGCCAGCUUGCUCAUUUCCACAGGGUCAGUCAUCAGUACUCCAUCAGCAGCUAGGAAGCAGCGAAUGGCAUUAUAGCUUGCUCUUACUUGACACAUUCGGUGGAAGAAAAGUGUGUUUAAAUCUCCUUCUCGAAGCCAGUUUAUUCAAGAUUUCUGUCUCAAAUAGCUCUCUUCGAUCUCUCGCAGGAAGAGCCACUUCUGGUGAAGGUCCUUUUCUUCUUGGAACAGCUGCGGAGUUGGUGUUUGAAGGGCUUGCACCUGCACACGUUGAAGUAAACUGUAAGUUUCGCUCACUCUCUCUUGAAUUUUAGAAAAAAUCUCUCUGUUUAAAGUUUUUAGAUCUUUUUUGAUGUUCUUUAGUUUCCAACAAAGUUGUGCUAGAGUCGAGCUUGUGCUUCCGGCCUGAACCCACGUGUCUGAUACAACCUUCAGAAAGUCUGGGUGUUUGGUUAGAUAGUUUUGGAAUUUGAAGGGCUUUGUUCCAGUGGAAGGGAGGCUAUAGGCUAGGUCUACAAUGCAGGGGCUAUGGUCGGAGAACAGAGGGGGAGGAAAGAGGCGUGGGCAUGAGGAUGGGUAGAUAUGGUUCGCGAAUUGACGAGGAGACGAUCAAGCUUUUUCCCCACCGGCUUUACGGGUUGCUUAUUGGACCAGGAGUGUGAGGGUCCGUUAAAGCGCAGGUCAAACACACCACCUUGCAACAAGCAGUCUUGAAACUGGUACAUCAAGCUAUCAUGAACAACUACAGAUGGAGAAGAGUGUUCAUGUGGAUGUAGGAUUUGGUUGAAGUCACCACCAAUCAUCCACUGAUUGUUGUCCAUAUCUAGGGUCGCUUGGAGAUGUAGAAGCUCAGCCCAAAGAUCCACUCUUUCAUCACUGAGAUUUGAAGCAUAGACAGCAGUGUAAUAAAUGGAAUCUUGAUUGGGCAGAGAGAGCGUUACAGUCAUUGACUGGCUGGACUGAUGCACUAUCUGAAGCUUGAGGGGGUCUUUCCAUAUCAAAAUGAUUCUUCCGUCUUCGUCAGAAGAGUGGUUAGAGAUAUAGUUCCAGGUAUUGCAGAGAAUGGACAUUAGGGGAGCCAAAGAAAGUUCUUUGAUAUGAGUUUCUAAUAAAGCACCAAAAAGAGGCUUAUGGGUAAAAAGCCAAGAAAUAAAAUUAUGAUGUUUUCUCGGGUCAUUUAGGCCACGAGUGUUCCAAAAAAAGAGCUUGACACUCAUUAGUUAAAAAAGGUGGGGGGGGGGGGUCACCACCAUGAGAGAUGGCUUCCUAGUUAACAAAAGAUGUAAUAGGGACAAUUUUUGAAAUGGGAAGGUCACCACCAUGAGAGAUGGCUUCCUGGAUAGCAAGAGAGGUUGUGGGGUCAGUGUUUAUACAAGGAGGAGGCAUGGAGGAUGAUUGGUCAGAAUGCGGAAAUGAGUUGAUUUCUGUGGUUGAAAGCUGUGGAAGUGGGGGAGGGGAAGGGGAAUUUUUUUCUGUGGCUGGAGGUAGUUUGAGGACUGUUAGCGAGGCUAUGUCAGAGCUUGGGAGUACAAAAGGUGAGGGAGAACGAGAGAAAAAAAGAUUGGGGUUUUGGUUAGAGGUGUUUGGCGGGGAGGGUGUUGGUGAAGAUCGACAUCUUUUGAGUGAAGGCCUAGGGGUUGGAUCAGGAGAGGCCAAGGCGUAAUUUUCCAGAAAUGGGGUAAGUUGUUUGUCUACUUCCAUUGCAUCAGCAAGUGGAGGGCUUGAGGUGGCAGUAGGCAGGUCCAUAGGCAGUGAAGAUCAGAACUUGUUGCCAAGGAUUGGAGCAAACUUUUGAGGAGUUGGGGUGGGCUUAGAGUUUUUCUUUUUGGGCAAGGUUUUUUUGGUUGAUUAGGUUGAGUUGAUCGAAGGAUCAAUUGGUUUUUUUUCCUUGGGCUUUAGUUUGAGUUUCCGGGGGAUCAUUUGGAGGAGUGUAGGUGAGGCAAUUACGGACAAUGUGUCCAAGCUCAUGGCAAUGAGAGCAAGUAGGAGGAACCCAUGGAUAAUGAACAUUUACUUCAACAACUUCUCCACUCUCUCAUUCAAACUCAACAACUGGUGGCAGAGGCAAGGUGAGGUUAACCUCGACUUUAACAUGAGAAACCGUCAAGCUAACAAGAUUCUUUGUGAAGUCAUCUGUCUCUUUGGGAUCUCCAACAAGUACAGCAACUAGACUUAACCCUUCUUCAUGCCUGAGGUCUAAUGGUACCCCAAUAAGAUGAGCCCAGAUUCUUAUAGCUUUGAGAGACGGAGUAGAAGCAGAGUGCUGUGAGGACCAUUGCGAUGUGUGGAAGAUUGAAUCUCCCACAUACCAGAUGUUCUUCUCUAGGAUUUUUUGCCUCAGGUAAUCACUUGGGAUCCUUACAAUUGCAGAUCGGUUGAGGGGGUUGUUGUGGAUUUCUAGUCUUUUCCCUUUCCCCCACAUAUGGUUGAAAACACUUUGGAUUUGAUUGAAAGGAGGCGCUUUUCCAUUGAAGUAACAAAUGAUGAAAUAUUUGUGCAUCUCUGCUCCUUUUUGGAAAACUGAGUCUAGGAUGAGCACUCUUGGUCUUCCCGAAGGUGCGAGAGUGACAGGAGCCAAGCGUCUCAUAGUCUUAUUCUCAGAAGCCCUUAUUUUUCAACAAGGGAAGGAGGAUCGGGAAGAAGAGAAUGUGUGGUGGAGCUGAGGGGUUCUACAAGCGGGGAGGUGGUUUGAGGAGGUGGAAUGGUAGUUUGAGUUGGUGGAAUGGGAGGGUUUUCAGUUGAGGCUUGUAACUGUAGUUGGGCGGGAAGUGACGAGGCUUUGUUUGUUUGAGUCGGUGUGGAGUGUUUAGGUUCAAGGAUUUUGAAAUCUAGGUUAUUGUUUUCUUGCUGGGAACCAGAGACAUUACUUUGAACAGUGAUGUUUUCAGAUCUAGGAAAAUAUUUUCUUCUAGAUUCAAUUACAGGUUUCUUUGCGUUUGCAGGAGCCACAGGGGAGGCACCAGUUGAGGGGAGAAGCUGUUGCGUCGAUGCAGCAGCAGUUAGUGGGAGAGUCGGGGUCCUUGUCUCUCUUUUCUGAGAAGAGAAUGACUUAGAACCAGUUGAAAAAACAGAGGAGGGGUGUGGAAAUUGGAUUGGAGAUAGAGGGGAGGCUGGAUCCGGUGGGUCAGGUGGGAUAGGGGGCGGAGGGAUAGGCUCACUGGAGGUGAACGACGGUGGGUUCAGGGCAGAAGCCUUGCCGGGCACCUUCCAAGCAUUCUUCAUUGGGAACUGCGCCAGAGAGAGUUUGACUUUUUGUUUCGUUUUUUUAAUUAUUACUUCUGUUGCUCAUGUAAAAGAAUAAAACUUGUACAGAGUACACCCAAAAAUUAAAUCGGGCCUGACGUGUAUAUAAGGCAACAUUAUCGGCAAAAUGUUUCCUUCGGUGUAUAUCUAGCUAAUGGCUUCGAUUGGCCGACUCUUUGAUAAAUGGAAAAACUGAAAAAAUCAUAAACAAAAAUUCAUUUGAAAAAAUGAAUAAAAAAAUAUAAUUUUUUGUUCAUUUUGCUUCCUCAAAAUUGAAAAAGAAUUUUUUUCUUCAUAAAUUUAUUUUUUCAUGAGGAAUUAAAAGAAAUAGUAUGAGACUUAUUUGUUAAUAAUUUGACCAAAAGUUCAACUUAAUUAGUAUAAAUUUGAGGAACCAAAAAUUUACCAUAAUAUUUUCCUAUAAUUUGGUCACCAGUGAGAGUUAAUAUAAUACUAUUAAAAAUAAUAUAAUUAUUUCAAAAAUUAAAACAUAAAAGAGCGAACAAGUAAAAUAAAUACAAAUGUCAUUAGAGUAUACUAAAAGAUUGUUAAAAGUUGUCUGCACCAAAUCGAUCCUCGCUGUUCCACUCCACUUUCUUUUUAAUAUAAAUUAAAAUAAUCAUUCGGAACUUGUCUUCCUCUCUCUGUAGGAGAAGCUCUCAGCUUCUAUUACACUAUUUACCCAUUUUCUGAACUAUCACUAUUUACUUUUUGUAAAGGGAUAUAAAGUAUACUUUAGAGAGUAAUGCGUAUGUCAUAUUCGCAUACCGAGACGUUACACUAAGCUAUUUACGGAUGAAUACGUUUUCUUACAAAGAGUUUCUUCCAAAAUUAAAACUCAUUUUUUCAUGUCUUAUUCGGCGAAAAUCCACAAUAGAACCGAACUUUUUGAAACCACGAUCAAACAAAUGUUAAUGACUUUUGGAACUCACAUGCAUGUUGACACAUCAAAGAGUUAAUUUUGUAAUCUCAGCAAUGCCUUAACCUUAUGCUUCACACAUUCUUUUUUAUCUUGUUUAUUCUAACCGUAACUUUUUUCGUUUAAUUUGUUAUAUUUGUUUUCAAUAUAAAAGAGUCACGUUUUUUUUUUGCAAAGCGUUACAUCUGCAGACAAAGAAAACAUGGACGAGAAAUAGAAAUAAAAGAGAGUAACACAGUUUUUGUUAAAAAAUUUGGUAAAGAGUUACGUACUUAGAUGAAUGUUAAUAGUUCGAUGACAAUUUGUAAGUAAAUCUUGUUUUAUUCAAUUUUAAAUUAAAAUCUCAAAUUAAUGAAUAAUCAAACUCAACAGAUAAUAUAUAUAUAAACAUACAAUAUAAGAAAAAGUUGAUUAAACUAUAAAAUAAUAAUGACUCAUUACCCAUAAUCUCCUUUUAUUAGAAUUGUUUAUUCGCGAGUGAUACAAAACGUUGCUCGACCAUGUGUAUAUAUAUACGGUUGCUUCUUAUGACAUAUAUUCUCAACCAACAAAACAAAACCUUUAAACAGGAUUACAUACACCUGAAACAACAUAAAAAUGAAACCUACUGAACAAAAAACUCCGAAGCUUGUUGAGACAUCACCAAACAUAUCGACAGAUUCAUCAGCAUCCGAGAAAGGAGAAGCAACAAGUCAACAACAAUCCAACAAUGGCUAUGCACUCACAGUUGACGAGGUAAUCGAGCAACACAUCGGAGUACUAGGGUUUGCUCAGAUCGUGCAUGCUCUUUUGGUCUCUAUUGCUUGGACCUUCGAUGCUCAGUCCACUCUUAUAUCAAUUUUCUCCGACGCUAAGCCCGCUGCGAGGCUUCUCACAACGGGAGCCAUCGUGGAAGGCUCGAUGUUGUGUGGACUGUCCACCGGAGAGUGGGAAUGGGUUGGAGGAAAGAGCGACACUAUUAUUUCAGAGUGGAAUCUUAUAUGCGAACAUAAGUUUCUUGUUGCUCUACCAUCCACUCUAUUCUUCAUCGGAUCUCUUUUCGGUACGAAUUUAAUCUUUCCGAUUUUUUAAUAUAUAUGACGUUUUAGAAGACAUUUUUAAUUCUAAAUUAGAUAACGUUUUUAUUUUUCAUGUACAAGUUAAAUUAUUUUUGUGCGAUAUAUUCUAGGACAAAUCUCUAAAAUAGCACAUUUCUAAGUUUAUAUCACAAAAAUAGCACUCAAAAACUAAAAUGACCAAAAUAGCACCUUUCUAAUUUUAUCCUUUGAAAAUUUUAAUUUUUUUAUUUUUCAAAAUUUGAAAUCUUAUCCCCAAAACCUCAUUUCUCACUCUAAACCCUAAUCCCCUAAACUCUAAACCCUAAACCCUAAACCCUAAANNNNNNNNNNNNNNNNNNNNNNNNNNNNNNNNNNNNNNNNNNNNNNNNNNNNNNNNNNNNNNNNNNNNNNNNNNNNNNNNNNNNNNNNNNNNNNNNNNNNNNNNNNNNNNNNNNNNNNNNNNNNNNNNNNNNNNNNNNNNNNNNNNNNNNNNNNNNNNNNNNNNNNNNNNNNNNNNNNNNNNNNNNNNNNNNNNNNNNNNNNNNNUAUAUAUAUUAAUAUUAUUUUUUAUUUAUUUUAAGGAUCCAAAUCCGGAUCCGGAUAUCCGCCGGAUAUUAUAAUUUUUAGAAGGAUAUCCGACACCCGGAUAUCCGCGAACCCCGGAUCCGGAUAAGGAUAGUAAAAUUAUGGAUCCGCCGGAUAAGGAUCCGGAUCCGGAUAUCUUAAAAUUGUCCGGAUACCCGAUCCGUCCCAGGCCUAGUGUGUACAGGCAUAAAUCGUCAACUAAUAAAAUAAAAAACAGAGAAAAUGUUAUACACUGACUUGUUUCAGUUUGAUUGGUUUCUGUGUCCGGCCCUAAAAUCUUGAACACUGUUUACAUGAUUCUCAUGUUGCCUUCUUUUAUUAUCCCAACAGGUUCUGGAGUUUAUGGAUAUCUUGCUGAUUCCUGGUUCGGUCGGAAAAAGACACUUCUUAUCUCUUGUCUAUUAACGUUUGUCACAGCUUUAGCGAUCUCUUUUUCUCCAAACAUAUGGGUUUACGCGUUCUUGCGUUUUGCCAACGGAUUCUUUAAAUCAGGAAUCGGUUCUUGUUGUAUCGUGCUUGCUACAGAGGUCGUCGGUAAAAAAUGGCGUGGGCAAGUAGGGCAAUUCGGUUUCUUCUUCUUCACGUUAGGGUUUCUAUCUCUACCACUCAUGGGUUACUUGGAGAGAAAGUCAUGGAGAAACCUUUACCGAAUCACAUCCCUUCUUCCUCUUGGAUACGCUGUUUUUCUCUUGCCAUUUGCCUAUGAGUCCCCUCGAUGGCUUCUUGUUAAAGGACGUAACAAAGAAGCCAUGGUGGUCUUGAAGAAACUC